rnacentral:sRNA from 1 species
AGGGUGUGGCGCGAGCAGCGUCGUUGGUUGGCCGGCGGCGGGCCGGGACGGGCAUGGCCCUGCUGCUGUGCCUGGUGAGCCUGACGGCGGCGCUGGCCCACGGCUGUCUGCACUGCCACAGCAACUUCUCCAAGAAGUUCUCCUUCUACCGCCACCAUGUGAACUUCAAGUCCUGGUGGGUGGGCGACAUCCCCGUGUCAGGGGCGCUGCUCACCGACUGGAACGACGACACGAUGAAGGAGCUGCACCUGGCCAUCCCCGCCAAGAUCACCCGGGAGAAGCUGGACCAAGUGGCGACAGCAGUGUACCAGAUGAUGGAUCAGCUCUACCAGGGGAAGAUGUACUUCCCCGGUAAGGGGCGCGAAACCGAGGCGGGGCCCCCCAACCCCGGGACACCCCGCCCACCGCCUGAGCCUGACCUUCUCCUGCCUCGACUCCUCAGGGUAUUUCCCCAACGAGCUGCGAAACAUCUUCCGGGAGCAGGUGCACCUCAUCCAGAACGCCAUCAUCGAAAGCCGCAUCGACUGUCAGCACCGCUGUGGUAAGCAAGGCUCCGUCCAGGCUGAGGGGCGCGCCGGUGGCAGCUCGGGGCCCUGGAGGCCGAGGGGAGCCCUGGCGGCUCUCGUGUGUUUCAGGCAUCUUCCAGUACGAGACCAUCUCCUGCAACAACUGCACAGACUCGCACGUCACCUGCUUUGGCUAUAACUGCGAGUCCUCGGCGCAGUGGAAGUCAGCUGUCCAGGGCCUCCUGAACUACAUAAAUAACUGGCACAAACAGGACACGAGCAUGAGACCACGCUCCUCUGCCUUCUUCUGGCCUGGGACACACACAGCCACCCCAGCCUUGUGAGUGACCCAGAGAAGGGAGGCCUCGGGAGAAAGGGUGCUCCUAAGCCAACACCAGCGUGCCGCGGCCUGCACACCCUU